rnacentral:rRNA from 1 species
GCCCUUUUCCGGUUGAUCCUGCCGGAGGCCAUUGCUAUCGGGGUCCGAUUUAGCCAUGCUAGUCGCACGGGUUUAGACCCGUGGCAUAUAGCUCAGUAACACGUGGCCAAACUACCCUGUGGACCAGAACAACCUCGGGAAACUGAGGCUAAUUCUGGAUACAGCUCUUUCCCUGGAGUGGGUUGAGCUGGAAAUGCUCCGGCGCCACAGGAUGUGGCUGCGGCCGAUUAGGUAGACGGUGGGGUAACGGCCCACCGUGCCAGUAAUCGGUACGGGUUGUGAGAGCAAGAGCCCGGAGACGGUAUCUGAGACAAGAUACCGGGCCCUACGGGGCGCAGCAGGCGCGAAACCUUUACACUGCACGACAGUGCGAUAAGGGGACCCCGAGUGCGAGGGCAUAUCGUCCUCGCUUUUCUGUACCGUAAGGUGGUACAGGAAUAAGAGCUGGGCAAGACCGGUGCCAGCCGCCGCGGUAAUACCGGCAGCUCGAGUGAUGGCCGUGUUUAUUGGGCCUAAAGCGUCCGUAGCCGGCCAGACAGGUCCGUCGGGAAAUCUGCGCGCUUAACGUGCAGGCGUCCGGCGGAAACCAGCUGGCUUGGGGCCGGAAGAUCCGAGGGGUACGUCCAGGGUAGGAGUGAAAUCCCGUAAUCCUGGACGGACCGCCGGUGGCGAAAGCGCCUCGGAAGGACGGACCCGACGGUGAGGGACGAAAGCUAGGGUCACGAACCGGAUUAGAUACCCGGGUAGUCCUAGCUGUAAACGAUGCCUGCUAGGUGUGGCACAGGCUACGAGCCUGUGCUGUGCCGUA